rnacentral:rRNA from 1 species
UACGGAGGGUGCGAGCGUUGUUCGGAAUCACUGGGCGUAAAGGGCGCGUAGGCGGUUUGAUAAGUCAGAUGUGAAAGCCCACGGCUUAACUGUGGAAGUGCAUUUGAUACUGUCAGACUUGAGUACCAGAGGGGAAAGUGGAAUUCCCGGUGUAGAGGUGAAAUUCGUAGAUAUCGGGAGGAAUACCGGUGGCGAAAGCGACUUUCUGGCUGGAUACUGACGCUGAGGCGCGAAAGCGUGGGGAG